rnacentral:rRNA from 1 species
AUGUCUUCUUGUGUACCUUCUAUAAGAAGUCUGGCCUGCCCGGUGAUAUUUCAACGGCCGCGGUACUCUGACCGUGCGAAGGUAGCAUAAUCAUUUGUCUUAUAAUUGAAGUCUAGAAUGAAUGGCUCGACAAGAGUAAAGCUGUCUCUGAUAUCAGUUUAGAAUUUUAUGACUAAGUUAAAAAGCUUAGAUAUUAUAAAUAGACGAGAAGACCCUAUCGAGCUUUAGGAACUGAGCAAAAUUUUUAACAUUCAUGAAAUAGAAACGUUUACUCUAACUUUGGUUGGGGCGACCUAAGAACAGAUAAAGCUUCUUAUUUAUUUAUAGGCUUAUUUGCUUUAGAUCCACUAUUAGUGAUCAAAAGAAUUAGUUACCGUAGGGAUAACAGCAUAAUCUUUUUUGAGAGCUCCUAUCGAAAAAAAGGUUUGUGACCUCGAUGUUGGACCAAAAUGUCCUAAAGAUGUAGAAGUCUUUAAGGGUUGGUCUGUUCGACCAUUAAAAUUUUACGUGAUCUGAGUUCAGACCGG